rnacentral:rRNA from 1 species
UAUCAAUAAGCGGAGGAAAAGAAACUAACAAGGAUUCCCCUAGUAACUGCGAGUGAAGCGGGAAAAGCUCAAAUUUAAAAUCUGGCAGUCUUUGAUUGUCCGAGUUGUAGUCUGGAGAAGUGCUUUCCGCGCUGGACCGUGUACAAGUCCCUUGGAACAGGGCGUCAUAGAGGGUGAGAAUCCCGUCUUUGACACGGACUACCAGUGCUUUGUGAUGCGCUCUCAAAGAGUCGAGUUGUUUGGGAAUGCAGCUCAAAAUGGGUGGUAAAUUCCAUCUAAAGCUAAAUACAGGCGAGAGACCGAUAGCGAACAAGUACCGUGAGGGAAAGAUGAAAAGCACUUUGGAAAGAGAGUUAAACAGUACGUGAAAUUGCUGAAAGGGAAACGCUUGAAGUCAGUCGCGUCUUUCGGAAAUCAGCCUUGCAUUUAUUUGUUUGGUGUAUUUUCUGUUUGACGGGCCAACAUCGAUUUUAAUCGUUGGAUAAAGAUAAAGGAAAUGUGGCACCUUCGGGUGUGUUAUAGUCUUUUAUUGCAUACAACGGUCGGGAUCGAGGAACUCAGCACGCCUUUAUUGGUCGGGGUUCGCCCACGUUUCGUGCUUAGGAUGUUGGCAUAAUGGCUUUAAACGACCCGUCUUGAAACACGGACCAAGGAGUCUAACAUACCUGCGAGUGUUUGGGUGUUAAACCCGAGCGCGUAAUUAAAGUAAUAGUUGAGAUCCCCCUUAAAAGGGAGCAUCGACGCCCGGACUUGACCUUUUGUGAUAGCUCUGCGGUAGAGCAUGUAUGUUGGGACCCGAAAGAUGGUGAACUAUGCCUGAAUAGGGUGAAGCCAGAGGAAACUCUGGUGGAGGCUCGUAGCGAUUCUGACGUGCAAAUCGAUCGUCAAAUUUGGGUAUAGGGGCGAAAGACUAAUCGAACCAUCUAGUAGCUGGU